AUUGAACGCUGGCGGCAGGCCUAACACAUGCAAGUCGAACGGUAGCACAGAGAGCUUGCUCUCGGGUGACGAGUGGCGGACGGGUGAGUAACGUCUGGGAAACUGCCCGAUGGAGGGGGAUAACUACUGGAAACGGUAGCUAAUACCGCAUAACGUCGCAAGACCAAAGUGGGGGACCUUCGGGCCUCACACCAUCGGAUGUGCCCAGAUGGGAUUAGCUAGUAGGUGGGGUAAUGGCUCACCUAGGCGACGAUCCCUAGCUGGUCUGAGAGGAUGAGCAGCCACACUGGAACUGAGACACGGUCCAGACUCCUACGGGAGGCAGCAGUGGGGAAUAUUGCACAAUGGGCGCAAGCCUGAUGCAACCAUGCCGCGUGUAUGAAGAAGGCCUUCGGGUUGUAAAGUACUUUCAGCGGGGAGGAAGGCGGUGAAGUUAAUAGCUUCACCGAUUGACGUUACCCGCAGAAGAAGCACCGGCUAACUCCGUGCCAGCCGCCGCGGUAA
rnacentral:rRNA from 1 species